rnacentral:rRNA from 1 species
AGGCGUCGGUGGAGGAGGUAGCCAUCAUUGUUUUUUUUUAUUAUUAUUUUUUUUUAUAUUGGGAUAGCCCCCAAAAUAUUGGGAUAUAUAAAAAAAAGAAAAAAAAGAAUAAAUGCACUUGAGUAUAACAAUGGCUAGGUGAGGCCGGUAUAAAUGUCUAUUCUGCACAAGGUACAGACAAGUCUGGUGGGAUCCAUGCAUGGUUCAUUUUAAUAAACGCAAGCUUGUCCAUGUUGGCAGUGGACAGGCGGCUGCGCUUGUCUAUGAUAUCCUCGUGACGAUCGCACGUCCCUGUGACAGCGACAACGCAUUCGGAUGUCUGUCCUAUCAACUUUUGAUGUAAUUUUCCGCGCCUACCAUGGUGACCAUGGGUAACAAGGAAUCAGGGUUCGAUUCCACAGAGGGAGCCUGAGAAACGGCUACCACAUGCAAGGAAGGCAGCAGGCGCGCACAUUACCCACUCCUGAUGCGGGGAGGUAGUGAUGACAAAUAACAAUACACUACUCUUUCGAGGCCCUGUAAUUGUAAUGAGUCCACUUUAAAUCCUUUAACUUGGAUUAAUUGGAGGGCAAGUCUGGUGCAGAGCGACUGACCCGUGCGUGCUGCAGCUGAAACUCCACUAUCGCCU